rnacentral:rRNA from 1 species
UACAGAGGUCUCAAGCGUUGUUCGGAUUCAUUGGGCGUAAAGGGUGCGUAGGCGGCGCGGUAAGUCGGGUGUGAAAUCUCGGGGCUUAACUCCGAGACUGCAUUCGAUACUGCCGUGCUUGAGGACUGGAGAGGAGACUGGAAUUUACGGUGUAGCGGUGAAAUGCGUAGAGAUCGGAAAGAACACCAACGGCGAAAGCACUCUGCUGGGCCGACACUGACACUGAGAGACGAAAGCUAGGGGAGCGAAUGGG